CCCGCGUCUCUGUCCAACGCCACCAGGCUCACCCACCUCGAGCUCUCCUACAACAGCUUCGAUGGCCCCGUCCCGCCGGAGCUGGGCCUCCUCGAGGACCUCGAGCUCUUCAGCGUGACAGACAACUACCUCCUCAGCGGGGAUCUCGGCUUCCUCGGCCCCCUCAGCCGCUGCCGGCGCCUGAGGGACCUGAACCUCAGGCUCAACCAGUUCACCGGAAUCCUACCGGCGGCGGCCAUCGGCAACUUUACCAGCUUGGAGCGGUUCGUCGCCCAAGACAAUCUCUUAGACGGCGCCAUCCCCC
rnacentral:lncRNA from 1 species